UACGAAGGGGCUAGCGUUGUUCGGAAUUACUGGGCGUAAAGCGCACGUAGGCGGAUAUUUAAGUCAGGGGUGAAAUCCCAGAGCUCAACUCUGGAACUGCCUUGAUACUGGGUAUCUUGAGUAUGGAAGAGGUAAGUGGAAUUGCGAGUGUAGAGGUGAAUUCGUAGAUAUUCGCAGGAACACCAGUGGCGAAGGCGGCUUACUGGUCCAUAACUGA
rnacentral:rRNA from 1 species